rnacentral:lncRNA from 1 species
GCAAAAAUUUGGCAUGAGAACAGCCUUUAACCUGUCCCUUCAAUACAUUUGCUGCCUCAGAAAGGAAGAGGCCACAAGGAGCUCCUGGUUUCUACUACAGCCUCCAGAGUCUCUAAUUCCGUCCCCAAGGAUGGUGUGGGCAGCAUGGUUGGGGGGCAUCCACGGUCUUCAGCGGUCCCACUCUGGAGCCUCCCACACCACACUGUGGGCACUGUGGACAUUCAUCCAUUCUCCGUGAAGGAGCUAGAGCCAUCUUUGCCAAGAGCAAACCUGAUCAUAAUCCUCCCCGGCUUAAAACCGAUAUGCAGUAUAGCCUGCUGAUAGCAGUGCAGACCUCGCUUCUGCUAGGACAACUGGAUGCCAUCAUCCUGAAUCGGACACCUCACCUGACAUCAAACAGCGGGACAGGGCCCAAGGCCCUUGGGUGCCCACAACACACUGAUUGAUCAGCCCAGAUCUCACCACCAUCGCUCACUUGCCUUUCUAAUUUGGGACAGAGAAAGUUUGUGAGUUUUAUUUUGUCUUUUUUUUUUCUCCAGAUUUAAAGAUCUAUUCCCUUUCCUCUCCCCCAAACCUCAUUCCCCAGAACCUAGAUUCUGUGCCAAAUUGGGUUUCCAAGCCUAGCAGUAUAAAACAAAAAAACAAACAAACUCCUACCCAGAGCUCAAUCUUUGGUCUCUUAUUCUUUCUUUUUUUUUUUUCCUUUAGUAAAAUCUCAGUGCUGCCAGGAGCAGUGGCUUCUGCCUAUAAUCCUAGCAUUUUGGGAGGCUGAGGUGGGUCUUGGUGCAAGGUGAAAUCACUUGAGGCCAGGAGUUCGAGAUCACCCUGGCCAACGUGGUGAAACUGUCUGUACUUUAAAAAUACAGAAAAUUAGCUGGGUGUGGUGCAUGUGCCUGUAAUCUCAGCUAGUAAGGAGGCUGAGGUGGGAGGAUCACCUGAGCUUGGGAAGUUGAGGCUGCACUGAGCUGUGAUCCCGCCACUGCACUCCAGCCUGGGUGACAAGAGUGAGUGAGACUCUGUCAAAAAAAA